rnacentral:rRNA from 1 species
GACGAAGGGGGGCUAGCGUUGCUCGGAAUUACUGGGCGUAAAGCGCGUGUAGGCGGCUGUUCAAGUUGGGCGUGAAAGCCUUGGGCUUAACCCAAGAAAUGCGCUCAAUACUGGAUAGCUAGAGGACCGGAGAGGAUAGUGGAAUUCCCAGUGUAGUGGUGAAAAUACGUAGAGAUUGGGAAGAACACCAGUGGCGAAGGCGGCUAUCUGGACGGUUUCUGACGCUAAGACGCGAAAGCGUGGGGAGCAAACAGG